rnacentral:rRNA from 2 species
GAUCAGGUAGGGAUACCCGCUGAACUUAAGCAUAUCAAA